UCCAUUUUAAAGCUCUAUGAAGGAGGAACAAAGGACCUUUACCUGAAGAUUAUUAAGUACUCCUCCAUCAGAUACAAUUCUUUCUCACUUAUAGAGGGCUAAAGUGUUUCUCAAGAAUUAUCUAGACUCAUGGUUCCACCUCCUUCUCCUUGAUGUGGAUGAAUCAUGUGAUGAUAUCCCUUAAAUUUUAGUACAGCUGUAACUGGGCAGUGCUUGUCCAGCCACAGCCACAUUGUCCAGUGUCCUUUGCUGCGGAGUGUCUCAUGUGACUGAGCUCUUGAUACUGGAAUGCAACAGAAGCAAGUUGUGCCCUUCUGGACUACGCUUUCAAGGGACUAGUCAUUGUAUGCCUUCCCUCCUCCUCAGGAGCCAGGAUGGUGACACGUUUAAGAUGGCAGAAACUCUGUCCUGCCAAGUCCCUGAAUGACUUGGAGGUCAUGGAGCUGAACCCUUCCAAGCUGGAAUACUCCUAUGAACCAUGUCGUUAGAGAGAAAUAAAGCUAUUGUGUUUGAAUGAUUAUAUUUUAAGGUCUGUGUUUUAAAAUGAGUAAGUCUACUUUAAUUCAUUAGUUAUGAUCUUCAAAAAUUAGAUACUUUAUUUUUCCCCUGGAAGUAGCCUUGAUGUUAUUUAUUUGCUAAUUUAUUAAGUUUUUCUUCUUCUGAAAUAAACCUAUUUUUGGAUAUA